AUUGAACGCUGGCGGCAGGCCUAACACAUGCAAGUCGAACGGUAACCGGAAGAAGCUUGCUUCUUUUCUGACGAGUGGCGGAAGGGUGAGUUAUGUUUGGGAAACUUCCUGAUGGAGGGGGAUAACUACUGGAAACGGUAUCUAAUACCGCAUAACGUCGAAAGACCAAAGAGGGGGACCUUCUGGCCUGUUGCCAUCGGAUGUGCCCAGAUGGGCUUCGCUAGGAGGUGGGGUCACGGCACACCUCGGCGACGUUCCUUAGCUGGUCUGAGCGGAUGACCAGACAGAUUGGAAGAGAGGAAGGGUCCAGACUCCUACGGGAGGCAGCAGUGGGGAAUAUUGCGGGAUGGGGGCAAGCCUGAUGCAGCAAUGCCGCGUGUAUGAAGAAGGCGUUCGGGUUGUAAAGUGAUUACAGCGGGGAGGAAGGGAGGAAAGUUAAUACCUGUACACAUUGACGUUACCCGCAGAAGAAGCACCGGCUAACUCCGUG
rnacentral:rRNA from 1 species